CCAAUGUAUGUCAAAAAGAAGGUAUAAAACAAGGAUAUUAAAAAAUGUCUAUAUCAUCUCCUAAACACAGUCUUUAAUUUACUUUACACAUACACCAGGCAAGUUCUAGACAUCACAUGCAACAAGUAAUAUACAACACCUCACAUGCACAUGGAAUAUGCUCAACUCACGUAGGAUCAUCAUAAACACUCAACAAAAUAAUAGCAUGAAUUCAAAU
rnacentral:lncRNA from 1 species